GGAUCAUUGUAUUGUUGUAGACUAGUCUAGGGAGGAUCAUUGUAUUGUUGUAGACUAGUCUAGAGAGGAUCAUUGUAUUGUUGUAGACUAGUCUAGCCUCUUGAGGAUACCGUAGGAUAGGGGGCGCCACAGCGCAUUUUGAAAAAAAAUCGUUCCCAUUUUCAACGGCCUACUAAUCAAACUCAGAAGAUAGGGCAUGCAUAUACUUAUUAUAUAUGGAUAGAAAACACUCUAAAGUUUCUAAAACUGUUUGAAUGUUGUCUGUGAGUAUAACAGAACUCAUAUGGCAGUCAAAACCCCGAGACCGAUUGAAACAGGAAGUGUAAUUCUGAAUUGUGGACUCGACUUCAUCACUUUGCCUAUUAAUCACACCGUGAGCAAUGGUUCACUGAGCACUUCCUAUUGCUUCCACUAGAUGUCGCCAGUCCUUUCACAGUGGUUUGAGCCUUAUAGAGUCAAAACUCAGUGAAUGACACGAGUUUGAAAUUGGUCACAGGGGAUGGGCCAUCACCAUUAUGACGCCGGCGGCCAUGUCUGCCCCCACCUUUGGAUACGGUUUUAAAGGCCAUGACAUCAUCCCCCUCGAAUCUUAUUGGCUCUCUUGGUGUUAGAGGCCCUGAAGAUUUAUUUUAUACAACGUUUGACAUGUUUGAACGAACCUACAUGCGCGAGCAUUGCAUUUAUUAUGAACUUCAGAGCUGCGCUUGGAGAGAGCCAUAGGACGCGCUACCAACAUCAGGCUAAUGGAACGUGAAGUAUGGACUUUUUGACCGAAAAUACAUCUGUUGUGGACCUGGGAUGCUUUCUGAUGAAGACAACUAAAGAAGAAGUUAACAGCGGAGUGCGUGUUCAGAGAGCAGUUUGAAGAGAAUUGGUACAACACAUAUGCCUCUACGCUCUACAAACACACCGACACCGGACGCUUCUACUACGUAGCGCUCAACAAGGACGGCUCGCCGCGGGAGGGGGGGAGGACUAAGAAACACCAGAAACUAACGCACUUCCUGCCUCGGCCUGUGGAGAUAGAGAAGAUCCCCCAGGCUUACAGAGAUCUGUUCCAAUACAGGUGACCAGGGAUGAGCCUGGGAGAGAGGGAUGAGGAGGAGGAAAGGGAAGAGAGAGGUGGAUGUUUGGCACUAAGGACAGGACUCAGUACUCCCACUGACCUCGCUCCCCCGUCUCCAGCCCCGACCCCCUACAAAGGUGUUUAUGUAUUGCCCCUCCAGCCCCCCAAAAAACCCUCCCGUUCUUCCGAGGACCACCGACCAGAGAGAUAAACAUAGCUUGUGUUGCUGGACAUUAACUCUCUGAAAGGGCUGUUUGACCUCAGAGGGGUCAGAGCAGAGCAGUGGAGACGCUCUUCUCUCCAGCCACUGAGGGGGGGAGGGGGGUCCUACUAGAGGGGGGUCUCCAGCCACUGAGGAGAGGGGGGGGGGUCCUACUACAGAAAGGUGUCAUUAGGCCCAUAAGACCUCACUCUGGAGGAGAGCACAGAGUCGAGCGGAGGAGAUAAUCUCUUCACUGAACGGAUACGGAGGGAGAGAAACUGGACUGGCGUCAGGCCUGUACGACUGCCUAACCCACCCCGGGAUAACCACAGGUUAAAACCACGUGAACCAUCUGAAGAAGACCAAGACUGUUCCUGAUGAGAACCACUUUUAUACAUAAUAAGAUACUUAACCAGCAUUCACUGCAAAUAUGAAAAGGGUUUGGGGUUAGUCCUCAGCAGUUCGAGUAGCACCAAGGGGUCUGAGGACUAGUAAUGGAAAGUUGAUCAGACUAGCUGAGAUGACCAGUGGACACUACUCUAGCCAAGCCAUUCACCACGGCAACCAGAUAAUUCCAGGAAGGAAUGGAGAGAGGGGAUUGACCAAUGGAAGUUGAGAGAAUGUCAGUGUGUUCUAAAGCAACGUGUAGAGAACUCAUCUUCUGACGAGUCAUUGGGAUGUCCGGGCUGAGCGAGAGAGAGCGAGAACACUACUACCUAGUAUGUAUAUGUGAUGGAGACAGAUUGGCCAUGAGGGAGCAUGCAGGUGUAGCAGGGUUGGCAGAACUUGGCACAUAAAUUAUAUGAUCUCAUAAGGUGAAUGCACCAAUUUGUAAGUCGCUCUGGAUAAGAGCGUCUGCUAAAUGACGUAAAUGUAAAAUGGUCAAUGUAAAGAGAUACGUGUAAAACAUUAAUACAGGACAGUCAAGGACAUGGGUGGUGAAGCUAGAUUGCAGUUCAAUGAAAUACCUAUGACAAUGAAUGAGAAAUCAUGAAAAGAAUAGGUUUGUAUUGAGACAAACUUUUAGGAACAGGCAAACAGGAGACAAUGUAAGACAUAGGAAGAUGAAAGAGCACUUACUAUUUGCCUCUACAGGGUCAAAUUGACUGGCCCCCUAGCAGGCCAACCAAACAGCCUUCUCCUCUCUGAUACAGAUUACUCUCACUCAUAAUAGUAGCAGAUGUUGUGGCAUCUAGAAAGACUAGACACUACAGUGAGGUUACACCACCAGACUACAGUGAGGUUACACUACCAGACUACAGUGAGGUUACGCUACAGUGAGGUUACACCACUAGACUACAGUGAGGUUACAUUUAAGUGAGAUACAGUACUAGAUUAGAGUGAGGUUACACUACCAGACUACAGUGAGAUUACACUACAGUGGGGUUACAGUACUAGACUACAGUGAGGUUACACCACCAGACGACAGUGAGGGUUACACCACAGUGAGGUUACAGUACUAGACUACAGUGAGAUUACACUACAGUGGGGUUACAGUACUAGACUACAGUGAGGUUACACUACAGUACACCAGACUACAGUGAGGUUACACCACCAGACUACACUGAGGUUACACCACUAGACUACAGUGAGCUGUAGAACGGACAGACAGAGUUUUAGAACAGAGGGAGAGCUGUAGAACAGAGGGCACAGAGAGAGAGAGAGCUUUUGAACAGAGGGAGCGACUUGUAAUGUUCAGCCUGUUAUUAAAAUACAACCAGCUGAGAUGUGCAUAUGAAUGAUCCUAUUUAUGAGAUGUACUAUAUAUUUAUUUUAUUACAUAUAUAAAGUAUAAAUCUAUUUAUUUAUUGCAAAGACUAUUUUGUAAUGAACUUGACGUUAUCACAACUGUAGAUUCUACUGAAAACUGUUAUUAAAUGAAUUUGGCAAUAAAA
rnacentral:lncRNA from 1 species